rnacentral:rRNA from 1 species
AGUGAACGCUGGCGGUAGGCCUAACACAUGCAAGUCGAACGGCAGCACAGUAAGAGCUUGCUCUUACGGGUGGCGAGUGGCGGACGGGUGAGGAAUACAUCGGAAUCUACUUUUUCGUGGGGGAUAACGUAGGGAAACUUACGCUAAUACCGCAUACGACCUACGGGUGAAAGCAGGGGAUCUUCGGACCUUGCGCGAUUGAAUGAGCCGAUGUCGGAUUAGCUAGUUGGCGGGGUAAAGGCCCACCAAGGCGACGAUCCGUAGCUGGUCUGAGAGGAUGAGCAGCCACACUGGAACUGAGACACGGUCCAGACUCCUACGGGAGGCAGCAGUGGGGAAUAUUGGACAAUGGGCGGAAGCCUGAUCCAGCCAUACCGCGUGGGUGAAGAAGGCCUUCGGGUUGUAAAGCCCUUUUGUUGGGAAAGAAAAGCAGCAGGUUAAUACCCCGCUGUUCUGACGGUACCCAAAGAAUAAGCACCGGCUAACUUCGUG